UGGUCGGCGUGGUGGCUAUAAGAAGCUGAGCGCAGGCGCGCAGCCUCCUUUCCUCAGCUGUCGCUAAGGUGCUCGGUCCUUCCGAGGAAGCUAAGGCCGCGUUGGGGUGAGCCCCUCACUUCAUCCGGCGACUAGCACCGCGCCCGGCAGCGUCUGUCCAGCCCUCGCCCGCACCAUGGCUUCGGUCUCGGAGCUCGCCUGCAUCUACUCGGCUCUCAUCUUGCACGACGACGAGGUGACGGUCACGGAGGAUAAGAUCAAUGCGCUCAUUAAAGCAGCGGGUGUAAAUGUUGAACCUUUCUGGCCUGGCUUGUUUGCAAAGUGUCCUCCGGAAGAGCUUUCAAAGGUUAAAAACACUGUACCUGCAUCACCUUUUAUAAAUUCCUUUGGAAGAAGUUACAGAAUUAGCAUUUGGAAAAUAUAAUUCACUGUUAGAGGCAACAUGGAACUUCUGGAAGAAUCCUGGUUUGACAAGGAAAGCCAGCACUUGAGGCCAGUAUCCCCAUUUGUACUUCACUGCUUAAUAUAGGGUGCAUGUAAGGUGUAAAGCCCAGAGUAGUUUUUCGUAACUGCUAAAAUGGCAAUGGCUGUGUGGGUUGCCCUAUAUAUAAUCUAAAUUUUCAGGAUGGUAGAUUACAGGAAAGAAGAGAAACGUGUAGUGUUGGGAGUUAAUCACUAAGUUCAAACAGGUGUCUUUUCUGGAUACUAGAAUAAGUGAAAGGAUAGACUGAGUGUUAAUUUGCCUCUGUGUACACAUGGUUUGCAGGCCCUGGCCAAUGUCAACAUUGGAAGUCUCAUCUGCAAUGUAGGGGCUGGUGGGCCUGCCCCAGCUGCAGGGGCUGCCCCUGCAGGUGGUCCUGCUCCUUCCACUGCUGCUGCUCCAGGUAGGAAACCAUUGGAGGGAGGAGUAGGGAGAUUAAUAAGUAUUCUAGGCAAAGUUGCUCUUAUUUGCCAAGAGUGAUGUGUAGAAAUCCUAAAUAAAAAAAGCCAUAGUUUGGAUAGGUGGAAGUCAAGGAUAGUUUUGAUAAUGAAAGUUGAAGGGCCUGGGGCUGUUUGGAAUUUAAAUGUUGAGAUGUGAUUGACAUAAAUUUUUCUUUUUUUUUUUUUUUAAAGCUGAGGAGAAGAAAGUAGAGGCAAAGAAAGAAGAAUCUGAGGAGUCUGAUGAUGACAUGGGCUUUGGUCUUUUUGACUAAAGGUCUUUUGUAACACGUUCAAUAAAAAUUUGAACUCUUUGUUCUUUGUUGGGGGUAGUGUUUGGUGAUGAUCUCACUUUUGUCUAAAGUUGGCUUUUAGCCUUUUCUGCUUUGACAGUAUAGGUUUUCCUCUUUGCCGCCAUCUCUUAGUGGGAAACACUAUACCAAGCUGGACUUGGUACUAAGUAUGCACUUAAUGUUGCAGCAAUGAGACAUGGGGAGGUGGGGGUGAUCAGAGUAGAGGUUGUGCAGAUGAUUUAUAUAAUUUUAUGGCUAGGUUUUUUUCCCCUAGAUGUGAGCUGGUGGGGGCGGGGGUAAGGAGGAUUGGGGUGGUAAUCUUAGACCUAAGAUUUAGAAAGCUCUCUGGGUAAUUCUUUAGUGUAAUCCUGGCUAAAGAUUGAGCUGUCUCAAAUGAGCUCAGACAUUGACACACGUGUGUCUGGGGGCGUUAGGUGGAAUGUGGAAAAUUUAGGUUAAGCUCUCAGCUAUACAGGUGGAUGAAAUCAGAAAUGAGAUCUAUGAAAUCCAAGAGAAGUUUUUUUUUUUUUUUUUUGGUGGGAGGAGGGUAGCUUCAGUCACACUAAGUCAAUGUGACUAAAAUGGCAUGAGGUAGAAAUUGGUCCACUUUACAAAAUGUUAGGGUGUCCCUGGAUAUGCUUUAGGAGGAGCUACAUACAAGAUGCAUCUCUGGGAAUGUCCAUACUAAACAACAAGCAUAUUAAAUAGUUUCAUUGUUAAGUUCUACUAACAUCCUGAAAGCAAAGCAUCUAUCUUUUGCCCUAAUAUUUAAAUCCUGCAUCAGCAGGAUGCUAGGAUUAUGUGUUCAGUGCACAGAUUAUUUUACGGAGAAUAAUAGGAACUAGUGUGCUCACUGACAACCAUCUGAGAACAAAAUUGAUGUCAAUGUGUUGCACAGUUGGUUAAGAAAAAAAAAAUCCUCAGCUUUUCCCCUCAAAAUUAAGGUGAGAGCCAUAUGUGAACUUUAAAUACAACAUAAUGGUAUAACCAAUUCAAAUAAACUUGAGUUCUCACCCCAUAAUUUGAAGCAGAAUAUAUACAGUAAAAUUGGAACAAUGUAAGCCAGGGGAUUUGCUUGGGUAUCCUUUUCACAAGUUCUCCCAUGCUAAUUGGCUCUAUUUGUCUAUCAACUUGCUCCAGAGACUUCCUGACACAGUCAUAGAGGACAAAGCUGGGCCUGGAACCCCCAACUCGAAUCCAGUAUUCUGUAAUGACAUGUCCCUUCCACACAGGUUUGGAAACAAGCCUGAAUAGCUAAGCUAGAGGUAGACACGAGCUGCUUUCUGGACAACACUGAUAAUAGUUCUCAAACAGCAAGAUGUCCCUCUAGUUCAGAUUAUAGACACUCAUGCACCAUGGGACAUGGAUUGCUCAGGUCAGAAUCUGCAAUCUGGAACACUUGGGACACAGAGUUGGGGCCUUAACAUUUUCACAGAAUUCCACAGAUGAGUUCCUCUGUUUUGUUGGCCAGAGCUUCCACUCUUGUAUAUACUUUGAGGGUUAGUGUGGUGACCAAUUAAAGUUAGAAAUGAGAAUUUUCCAGAUUCCAGAUCUCUGCACUGCUACUCUUAGGGCACUGACUACCUCCUCUAGUCAAUUCCACAUCCAACCACAGGAAGCCCACUCCUAGUCUAUAAGAAGUCUUAGAUCCCAGUACAACCCACUUGUCUCACCCUCCCCACCCUUUUUUAAAAACUUGGAAGAGUUGAAUUAGCAUUGCAUAUAAGUUUCAGGUGUGCAUUAUAAAUCAACAUCCGUACAUACCACAUUAAGUGCACUACUAAAAGUUCUAUCUUUCAAGCAUACAACUGACCUCUUUUACCUGAUUAUCCACCACUUAAAAGUGUUUGUGAUGGUUCAGUAUCCUCUCCACGUGAUUAAGUUCAGGAAACGGUGUCUCUUUUUUGGUAUCUCAAAAUUCUUAACACACUGCCUGGUUCCUUGAUGGCGUUCAGCAUACUUUCAUCAGAGCCCAACCCUCUUAUCUUUGUCAUGAGGAAAGAAGGGCUAGACAGGAGGAGGAGAAAUUCGUUCAGCAGCAAUUUCUAGCAGUAUUAGAACUGGAGCCCAAGUCUCUGGACCAGUAAAUGCUCUCCACAAGGUAGCAGACAGGUCGGAGCAGAGAAACCCCCGUAUCCCACCACAAGCCUCAUUCAUUCAUUUCAUUAGCACUUACUCCGACCUUGCAGGUUGUCAGAUACAGGUGUGGAUGUUCAUGCUCUAAGGUGGGGAAACCCACACCCGGAGGAGGACGCAAGGCCCCUCAGGGACCAGUUCCCCAGAGGUAACACGAGGGCGUCGGGGGGUUGGGGGGAUCCCCAGGUGAGGCCCCAGCCCGGCAUCUGGAGAUGCAGCACUAGCCUGGCGUGGCGGCCCGCGGAUGAAGGAGAUCGAAGCCAGGAGGCCGCAGGAAGUGUUCUCACCUCACCCGACCUCCCAGCCUGGCACGGGGACCCAGGCGUCUGAGCCCACGCUCAAGUUCACACGUACAGUCCGCCGCACGCCAAUCAACCUCUGCUCCGGGGGAAGGGGCGGGGCGAGAGGCGGGACUAGAGGCCGAGCGUGGCCAAGGGAGCUUCUCAAGUGCACCGAGACCUCGUGGGCCGCUAGGGGGCGCGCGUGCCCGUCAGCGUGAGUCGCGCUACCAACAGCUUUGAAAAUCUGGUUUAUUAGCGGCACGCAGGUCCCGGCUGCUGGUUAGUGGAUUCAGGCAACUAAUUUAUUGUGAAACCUCUAUGUCCCGAGAUUCCAGCAUUGUCAUUGGCCAACAGGCCACUGAACCAGGG